rnacentral:rRNA from 1 species
CCUACGGGAGGCAGCAGUGGGGAAUCUUGCGCAAUGGGCGAAAGCCUGACGCAGCCAUGCCGCGUGAAUGAUGAAGGUCUUAGGAUUGUAAAAUUCUUUCAGUAGGGACGAUAAUGACGGUACCUACAGAAGAAGCCCCGGCUAACUUCGUGCCAGCAGCCGCGGUAAUACGAAGGGGGGCUAGCGUUGCUCGGAAUUACUGGGCGUAAAGGGAGCGUAGGCGGGUUAUCAAGUUGGAGGUGAAAGCCCAGGGCUCAACCUUGGAAUUGCCUUCAAAACUGAUAGCCUAGAGUAUGAUAGAGGUAUGUGGAACUCCGAGUGUAGAGGUGAAAUUCGUAGAUAUUCGGAAGAACACCAGUGGCGAAGGCGACAUACUGGGUCAUGACUGACGCUGAGGCUCGAAAGCGUGGGGAGCAAACAGGAUUAGAUACCCUGGUAGUCCACGCUGUAAACGAUGAUUGCUAGUUGUCGGACGGCAUGCCGUUCGGUGACGCAGCUAACGCAUUAAGCAAUCCGCCUGGGGAGUACGGUCGCAAGAUUAAAACGUUAAAUGAAUUGACGGU